CUUUGAAGCCCAGGUGGGUGACUUCACAACUGCAGACUGUCAUCCAUGGAUCCUCAUUGAGAAUUUAACUCAAAAGGUCUAGGUGGAAAAGAAAAUGCCAACGUGUCUUUUCUCACAAGCCUGAAAGAGGUCACCAAUGAGGAUCCUGCUGCUCUCCCUGCAGGAAGCCCCUCUGGAUCUACUCUGUGCAACCACUGUCUGUUUCUCAAGGAGUCGCUGAGAAAGUGCCUGAGAAGAUCAUGUACUCCAGAACAAGAGACCAAAGAAGCAUUGUACUGUCUACCUGACCCCAAUAAAAUUUUCAGCAUGC